UACGUAGGGUGCGAGCGUUAAUCGGAAUUACUGGGCGUAAAGCGUGUGUAGGCGGCCAUAUAAGUCGGAUGUGAAAGCCCUGGGCUCAACCCAGGAAGUGCACUCGAUACUGUAUGGCUUGAGUAUCGGAGAGGUUGGUGGAAUUCUCGGUGUAGAGGUGAAAUUCGUAGAUAUCGAGAGGAACACCGGUGGCGAAGGCGGCCAACUGGACGAAUACUGACGCUGAGACACGAAAGCGUGGGGAGCAAACAGG
rnacentral:rRNA from 1 species